rnacentral:tRNA from 2 species
GGGUCAUUAACUCAGCUGGUUUAGAGUGUUACCUUGACAGGGUAGAAGUCACUGGUUCGAAUCCAGUAUGACCCA